rnacentral:lncRNA from 1 species
CCCAUAGAGACACAUAGGGACCCAUAGAGACCCCAUAGGGACCCAUAGGGACCCAUAGAGACCCAUAGGGACCCAUAGAGACACAUAGGGACCCAUAGGGACCCAUAGAGACCCAUAGAGACCCAUAGAGACACAUAGGGACACAUAGAGACACAUAGAGACCCAUAGAGACCCAUAGAGACCCAUAGGGACCCAUAGGGACCCAUAGAGACCCAUAGAGACCCCACCCACCCCUCCCCACUUCCUCCCCCCCCAUCAAUGGGGCCUGUAUCCAUUGAGAGCACCUUUAUUUCUGUGGGGCUGGAGGCACUUGUGGGGCGGAGUGUGGGGCAGCCCCACAGGGCUCAGCUGGGGGGGCACUUGUGGGGCAGAGGAGUCACUUAUGGGGCUGAGAGACCACUUGUGGGUCUCACUAUGGGGCUGAGAGUCACUUAUGGGUCUCCCAAUGGGGCAGAGGAGUCACUUGUAGGGUACAGGAGUCACUUAUGGGGCAGAGGGGUCACUUAUGGGGCAGAGGAGUCACUUAUGGGGCAGAGGGUCACUUAUGGGUCUCACUAUGGGGCUGAGGGGUCACUUGUGGGGCAGAGGGACCACUUGUGGGUCUCUCUAUGGGGCAGAGGGUUCACUUAUAGGGCAGAGGGUUCACUUAUGGGGCAGAGGGUUCACUUAUAGGGCUGAGGAGUCACUUAUAGGGCUUAGAGUCACUUAUGGGUCUCGCUAUGGGGCUGGGAGUCACUUGUGGGGUGGGAGUCGCUAUGGGGCUGGGGGUCGCUAUGGGGCUGGGGGUUGCUAUGGGGCUCAGAGUCGCUAUGGGGCUCAGAGUCGCUAUGGGGCUGGGGGUCGCUAUGGGGCUGGGUGUCGCUAUGGG